rnacentral:rRNA from 1 species
ACUCCUACGGGAGGCAGCAGUGGGGAAUAUUGCACAAUGGGGGAAACCCUGAUGCAGCCAUGCCGCGUGUGUGAAGAAGGCCUUGGGUUGUAAAGCACUUUCAGUAGGGAGGAAGGUAGUGUAGUUAACACCUGCACUAUUUGACGUUACCUACAGAAGAAGCACCGGCUAACUCCGUGCCAGCAGCCGCGGUAAGUACGGAGGGUGCGAGCGUUAAUCGGAAUUACUGGGCGUAAAGCGCAUGCAGGCGGCCUGUUAAGUCAGAUGUGAAAGCCCGGGGCUUAACCUCGGAAUUGCAUUUGAAACUGGCAGGCUAGAGUCUUGUAGAGGGGUUAGAAUUUCAGGUGUAGCGGUGAAAUGCGUAGAGAUCUGAAGGAAUACCAGUGGCGAAGGCGGCCCCUGGACAAAGACUGACGCUCAGAUGCGAAAGGCGUGGGAGCAAACAGGAUUAGAUACCCCUGGUAGACUGUCA